rnacentral:rRNA from 1 species
UACGGAGGGUGCGAGCGUUGUUCGGAAUUACUGGGCGUAAAGCGCACGUAGGCGGCUUUGUAAGUUAGAGGUGAAAGCCCGGGGCUCAACUCCGGAAUUGCCUUUAAGACUGCAUCGCUAGAAUUGUGGAGAGGUAAGUGGAAUUCCGAGUGUAGAGGUGAAAUUCGUAGAUAUUCGGAAGAACACCAGUGGCGAAGGCGACUUACUGGACACAUAUUGACGCUGAGGUGCGAAAGCGUGGGGAGCAAACAGG